rnacentral:tRNA from 1 species
GUCCUAAUAGUUUAAAAAAAACCUUAGUCUUGUAAACUAAAAUUGUUCUUCUUAAGACU